CACGUUCGGAUUGUAGUCUGCAACCCGACUACAUGAAGCUGGAAUCGCUAGUAAUCGCGGAUCAGAAUGCCGCGGUGAAUACGUUCCCGGGUCUUGUACACACCGCCCGUCACACCAUGGGAGUCGGAAAUGCCCGAAGUCUGUGACCCAACCUGAGAGGGAGGGAGCAGCCGAAGGCAGGUCUGAUGACUGGGGUGAAGUCGUAACAAGGUACC
rnacentral:rRNA from 1 species